GAUGAACGCUGGCGGCGUGCCUAAUACAUGCAAGUCGAGCGAACAGACGAGGAGCUUGCUCCUCUGACGUUAGCGGCGGACGGGUGAGUAACACGUGGAUAACCUACCUAUAAGACUGGGAUAACUUCGGGAAACCGGAGCUAAUACCGGAGAAUAUAUUGAACCGCAGGGUUCAAUAGUGAAAGACGGUUUUGCUGUCACUUAUAGAUGGAUCCGCGCCGGAUUAGCUAGUUGGUAAGGUAACGGCUUACCAAGGCAACGAUGCGUAGCCGACCUGAGAGGGUGAUCGGCCACACUGGAACUGAGACACGGUCCAGACUCCUACGGGAGGCAGCAGUAGGGAAUCUUCCGCAAUGGGCGAAAGCCUGACGGAGCAACGCCGCGUGAGUGAUGAAGGUCUUCGGAUCGUAAAACUCUGUUAUUAGGGAAGAACAAAUGUGUAAGUAACUAUGCACGUCUUGACGGUACCUAAUCAGAAAGCCACGGCUAACUACGUG
rnacentral:rRNA from 1 species